rnacentral:sRNA from 1 species
AUAGAAUCAAUCCCGCAUUUUGAUUGAGCUUUCUCUUGCAUCUGAUCCAGUUUACUCUUAAGUUCCUCAACUGUCUAAGCUAGCUUCUCUAUGGUUUCUUCUUGCUCAUCAGAUUUCUUUUUGAGAUCUCGCAAGUCAGGUGUAGAGGUUGUGCUUGGCCUGGUGAUUGAAUCCGAAGGUUGAGGUUGAGCCCUGAUCUUUUCUUCUACAACCGUCCUUUGCGAAGUUUCGUUGAUGUCAAACUGCAGCUUGAUGUGCUUCCCAAGGUUGAGACUUAUUCUCCCGUCUUUGACAUCUAUCAUCGCUCCCACGUAGGCUAAAAAAGGUCUUCCUAGGAUUAAAGGAUCCUUAGGUUCUGCUUCCAUCUCAAGCACAACGAAAUCUGUAGGUACUUCCACUCCAUUAAUCAUUACUGCAGAUCUUGUAGCAGGCCAAAGGGUUUCCUUGAAGACCUAUCAGCAAGGAUCAAGGUCAGGUCGCAAGGCCUAUACUGAGUGAAUUCCAGCUUCCUUGCCACGGAGAGUGGCAUUAAGCUUACUGAAGCUCCCAAAUCACAUAGACAAUUGUUGAAAACCAAUUGACCAAUGGAACACGGUAGAGUGAAAGUUCCAGGAUCUUCCAGUUUUUCUUGAACACUCCUCUUAACAGUGGUCCUAGACGGAUUAGCAUCACAUUCGUCUUCUGAUUCUUGAUAAAU